CCCCCACCUUCUUUUUUUUUGCCGCGGUCUAUCAUGCAAGUCGAGCGGACAGAUGGGAGCUUGCUCCCUGAUGUUAGCGGCGGACGGGUGAGUAACACGUGGGUAACCUGCCUGUAAGACUGGGAUAACUCCGGGAAACCGGGGCUAAUACCGGAUGGUUGUUUGAACCGCAUGGUUCAGACAUAAAAGGUGGCUUCGGCUACCACUUACAGAUGGACCCGCGGCGCAUUAGCUAGUUGGUGAGGUAACGGCUCACCAAGGCGACGAUGCGUAGCCGACCUGAGAGGGUGAUCGGCCACACUGGGACUGAGACACGGCCCAGACUCCUACGGGAGGCAGCAGUAGGGAAUCUUCCGCAAUGGACGAAAGUCUGACGGAGCAACGCCGCGUGAGUGAUGAAGGUUUUCGGAUCGUAAAGCUCUGUUGUUAGGGAAGAACAAGUGCCGUUCAAAUAGGGCGGCACCUUGACGGUACCUAACCAGAAAGCCACGGCUAACUACGUGCCAGCAGCCGCGGUAAUACGUAGGUGGCAAGCGUUGUCCGGAAUUAUUGGGCGUAAAGGGCUCGCAGGCGGUUUCUUAAGUCUGAUGUGAAAGCCCCCGGCUCAACCGGGGAGGGUCAUUGGAAACUGGGGAACUUGAGUGCAGAAGAGGAGAGUGGAAUUCCACGUGUAGCGGUGAAAUGCGUAGAGAUGUGGAGGAACACCAGUGGCGAAGGCGACUCUCUGGUCUGUAACUGACGCUGAGGAGCGAAAGCGUGGGGAGCGAACAGGAUUAGAUACCCUGGUAGUCCACGCCGUAAACGAUGAGUGCUAAGUGUUAGGGGGUUUCCGCCCCUUAGUGCUGCAGCUAACGCAUUAAGCACUCCGCCUGGGGAGUACGGUCGCAAGACUGAAACUCAAAGGAAUUGACGGGGGCCCGCACAAGCGGUGGAGCAUGUGGUUUAAUUCGAAGCAA
rnacentral:rRNA from 1 species